GUUCUAAUUCUGCAAGUCAUCGCGUUACGCGACAUAUCCUAGGUUGAAAAGUUUACGAAAACUAAUUUUAUCCAUAUUUAAUCAAUAAAGAAAGUUUGGAUUAUAACUUAUUCAACUUCCAGUCAUCUUUCGCAUUCUUUAAAAUCCAUUCGCCGACUGACGACAUAGCGUCUCCGGUGCACAAUUCAAACGAAACCAUUUGCAUUGCACGCACGUAGGGAACGCAGGUGCGUACGCAGAAACACGCGCGUGUAUCCAAGCUACCGUGUUCCACUAGCUUGUACAACAUUAGAGAGCGAAGUCCCACGAUCUGUGCGAUCCGCACGAUGCAUUCCGCGUGACGCGUGCUUCUUCGAAAACAACAAUCCGUUAACCGGAAACGCGCGAUGAUGCUCGGGAUACUUACGCAAGUUUCGAGUAUCGACUGGCAUCGUGUACACCGGAGAAUUUGUAAUGCGUCGACCGUAAGAGGAUUCACAGCGUUCUGAAUCCCAUGUUAAUAGGAAUCGGGAGUUCCUCCGUUUCGCGUAGUUGUCGCUAAUUUGUACCGUUCGAUUAUCGAUUUCAAUCGGAUUUCGAGCUUAUUGCCUGUUGAUCAACAUUUUUAAAUUUUCGUUAAGAAUGAAACAUAGGAUUAACGUGUCGUAAUUUUGUAAAAAAAGAAAAAAUCAUGAGUUGAAAUAAUAAUUAAAAAAAAAAAAAAAGGAAAA